GGGCCCGCACAAGCGGUGGAUGAUGUGGUUCAAUUCGAUGCAACGCGAAAAACCUUACCUACCCUUGACAUGCCAGGAAGCUCGAUGAAAGUCGGGUGUGCCCGAAAGGGAACCUGGACACAGGUGCUGCAUGGCUGUCGUCAGCUCGUGUCGUGAGAUGUUGGGUUAAGUCCCGCAACGAGCGCAACCCUUGUCAUUAGUUGCUACAUUCAGUUGGGCACUCUAAUGAGACUGCCGGUGACAAACCGGAGGAAGGUGGGGACGACGUCAAGUCCUCAUGGCCCUUAUGGGUAGGGCCACACACGUCAUACAAUGGCGCAUACAGAGGGAAGCCAACCCGCGAGGGGGAGCAAAUCCCAGAAAGUGCGUCGUAGUCCGGAUUGAAGUCUGCAACUCGACUUCAUGAAGUCGGAAUCGCUAGUAAUCGCGGAUCAGCAUGUCGCGGUGAAUACGUUCCCGGGCCUU
rnacentral:rRNA from 1 species